rnacentral:misc_RNA from 1 species
UACGAGGGGUGCAAGCGUUAUUCGGAAUCAUUGGGCGUGAAGGGCGUGCAGGCGGUGCAGUAAGUCAACUGUCUAAUUUCUCGGCCUAACCGAGGGAAGGCGGUAGAUACUAUUGUGCUAGAGUAUGGAAGAGAAAAGUGGAAUUCUCGGAGUAGCGGUAAAAUUCGUAGAUCUCGAGAGGAAUACCGAUGGCGAAGGCAGCUUUUUGGUCCAUUACUGACGCUGAGGCGCGAAAGCGUGGGGAGCAAACAGG